UGCUAACAAGGGAGAAUCACUAGGGAGUUGAAAACGUUAAUCGAUUUCUACAUGAUUCUCGGGCCCGAUACAUCAUAUAGCAUAACACAUGUUAUCUGCGACCAUCAAUAUGUUCUCAAAUGCAAAUUAUAGUUUGGAAAAGAUAAAAUUAGGUUCACUUUACGUACUAUUUCAGCAAUUAUAUCCCCACCUUUAACGUUUAUUCCAGAAAAAAUAUCUUCCUUUUUUAACACAAUUUAUGACAAUUAAACACAUAAGACAUACUUAUGUUUACAUACAAAACAAUGCAGUUUUUUUUUUGUAAGCUCAAAAAAAUGCAUUUGCUUUCUCAGAAAUAAAAAUAAUUAUUUUUGUCGGUAAAAUAUACUGAUCAUUUAAAGUACUUUAGUAAUUAAUUUCAUGUUUUUGGUAAAAUUUUAAUUUCAUUUAGAUCUCUUUUUACACUUUUGUAUAACUCCUUUUGUUCUCCUUGUUUUGCAUCAUUGAUCAUUGUUUUUUAUUUUAUUUGUCUUGUUUUCCUUAAUUUUUCUUACAUUAUGAAAUUAUUACAAAAAAUGUAAUUAGAUUUGAAUAAAGCAAGUGAUGAAAUAACUAAUUAAUUAAAUCAAUUAAAGUAUAUAAAAUCUAGAGUACAAAACGAGUAUGACACCUGACCCGCAUUAAAGAGGCAAACCCUUAAUACCUUACUCCAAUUGGAUAUGCUUUUUCCCUUAUUUAUUUAAUUUAUUCGGUUUCUACCGUUACAGUUUAGAAAAGAUAAAAUUAGGUUCACUUUACGUACUAUUUCAGCAAUUAUAUCCCCACCUAUAACGUUUAUUCCAGAAAAAAUAUCUUCCAUUUUUAACACAAUUUAUGACAAUUAAACACAUAAGACAUACUUAUGUUUACAUACAAAACAAUGCAGUUUUUUUUUUGUAAGCUCAAAAAAAUGCAUUUGCUUUCUCAGAAAUAAAAAUAAUUAUUUUUGUCGGUAAAAUAUACUGAUCAUUUAAAGUACUUUAGUAAUUAAUUUCAUGUUUUUGGUAAAAUUUUAAUUUCAUUUAGAUCUCUUUUUACACUUUUGUAUAACUCCUUUUGUUCUCCUUGUUUUGCAUCAUUGAUCAUUGUUUUUUAUUUUAUUUGUCUUGUUUUCCUUAAUUUUUCUUAGAUUAUGAAAUUAUUACAAAAAAUGUAAUUAGAUUUGAAUAAAGCAAGUGAUGAAAUAACUAAUUAAUUAACUCAAUUAAAGUAUAUAAAAUCUAGAGUACAAAACGAGUAUGACACCUGACCCGCAUUAAAGAGGCAAACCCUUAAUACCUUACUCCAAUUGGAUAUGCUUUUUCCCUUAUUUAUUUAAUUUAUUCGGUUUCUGCCGUUACAGUUCCAUCUGCAGCUCAUCUCACUCUCUCAUAACCCCCCCCCCUCUCACAUGUUAUCUGCGACCAUCAAUAUGUUCUCAAAUGCAAAUUACAGUUUAAAAAAUAUAAAAUUAGGUUCACUUUACGUACUAUUUCAGCAAUUAUAUCCCAACCCAAACUUUUAACGUUUAUUCCAGAAAAAUAUCUUCCUUUUUUUAACAUAAUUUAUGACAAUUAAACGCAUAAAACAUACUUCUGUUUACAUACAAAACAAUCCAGUUUUUUUUAUAAGCUCAAAACAAUGCAUUUGCUUUAUAAAAAAUAAAAAUAAUUAUUUUUGUCAGUAAAAUAUACUGAUCAUUUAAAGUGCUUUAGUAAUUAAUUUCAUGUUUUGGUAAAAAAUUAAUUUCAUUUAGAUCUCUUUUUACACUUUUGUAUAACUCCUUUUGUCUCUUUGUUUUGCAUCAUUAAUCAUUGGUUUUUAUUUUAUUUGUCUUGCUUUCAUUAAUUUUUCGUUAGAUUAUGAAUUUAUU